rnacentral:rRNA from 1 species
UACGGGGGGGGCAAGCGUUGUUCGGAAUUACUGGGCGUAAAGGGCUCGUAGGCGGCCAACUAAGUCAGACGUGAAAUCCCUCGGCUUAACCGGGGAACUGCAUCUGAUACUGGAUGGCUUGAGUUCGGGAGAGGGAUGCGGAAUUCCAGGUGUAGCGGUGAAAUGCGUAGAUAUCUGGAGGAACACCGGUGGCGAAGGCGGCAUCCUGGACCAUUACUGACACUGAAACGCGAAAGCCAGGGGAGCAAACGGG